rnacentral:tRNA from 1 species
GCCCUGGUGACACAAUGGUUGAGCAUUCGGUUGCUAACCAACAGGUUGGUGGUUCAAACCCACCCAGGGGCU